AUGGGUGUCCGCGGCGGGACGAGGCGCGUCGCCGUGACCCUCGGCUGCGUUCUGCUAUCGAUGCUCUACUUGCCAGAGUCUCUCCAGAUGACGGUGACCCCCGACGCAGGAGCCACGGUCACCGUGCACUCUCAGGGGGACUCGUGCACGCUGUGCACGGGGAACGCCACGGUGCCAGCGGCGUGCGACUCCACAGAGGUUUCCCUGCCCCCCGGGGACAACGUGACCCUCCAUUUCUCCUGCUCAGAGACCCUGGGGGCGUCCUACCGGGCCCGGAUCCAGCGCGCCAUCGCAUGCACCAAGGACCGCUGCAGCCCGGCCCAGGGGGUGGCCCAGGCCUCCUUCCUCUCCGCCCUCCCCCGGACCCUCACCUGGGCGCUGGCGGUCCCUGAGGACACCAUGGCGGAGCUCAACCUCAUCGGGGACGGGCUGAAGGAGGCGGCGGCGGGGGACGCGGCGGCGGCGUCCUGCCCCGACGGCUCCACCUACGUCCUGACCCGGACGACCCCCGACGGCGGGCCCGCGACCCGGACGUACUGCCGCGGCGGCAGCACCACCGCCCUCACGCUGCCGGGGGGCGGGGCCCUGACGCUGGCCCUGGGACCCGGGGUGGAGGCCCCGCCCACGGUGUUCUCGGUGACCGCCAAGCCGCUCAAAGGCCCCACCGUCCCGGUCACCCUCGACCCCGGCCUCACCAUGGUGAUCCGCCGGGCGCCCGGCCGCCCGCAGUGCGGGGUGUGCACCGACAAGGGGGCGAGGUGCAGCCCUACCGACGUGUCGCUGAGCAAGGCGCAGGCGGCGGAGCUGGAGUUCGGCUGCCCCGAGCCACAGGAGGUUUUCAACGUGCGCCUCCAGAGGAUGAUAGACUGCACCGAGACUGCCUGCACCCCGCCCUCCGGAGAACUUCUGCCCGGCCUGCUGUCGGACUUCAGGAGGACCUUCUCCUGGGACGUGAGCCUGGCCAGGAGAAGCGUCCUCACUCUGGACUUCCCGGCGCCGGGACUGAAGGAGACGACGGCGGAGGACGGCUGCCAAGACGCACACAAGUACUCUGUUCGUACGAGCGACCGCGGAGGGGAGACCGAGACCACGUACUGCAGCGGGGGGCCGCUGACACAGCUCAUGUUCCUGGGAAAGACUUCGCUGGCCCUGGAGGUUCCCCGGGGGGCGGUACCGGACAAGGUGGCGUUCCGGGCCUCGGCGGCUCCCAGACCCAGCAGGACCACGCUCGUGACCCCUGACCCCAACACCGACAUCAUCCUGAAACGUGAGGGCGAGGAGCCCGACUGUGAGGUGUGCGUGGGCCCCAAGUGUGACCCCUCGUACCUUAACCAGAGAUACGCUGGGAACUUCUCGGUGGUGUUCGGCUGCCCCGGCCCUCAGGAUCUGUACGAGGCGCAGAUCAUCCAGGAGAUCGGUACGAACUUUUUUCGCAAUUCGCCUUCCGAUGUUUUUUCCAUUAAAUUUGUAUUUCCCCCAAGAAAGAAAAAAAUAUAUAUAUUACAAUAG
rnacentral:lncRNA from 1 species